rnacentral:miRNA from 1 species
GUCUUCGCACUGCUUGUUCCCAGUUGUUGUAACAAGUUUGGAACAAGCUGUUAAUAACUUGUGACAAGGCAUUAUCAGACUUGUUAUACAAUUUAUGCUGUUUUAACAAGACUGAUAUACAGUCAUGAUAAACCUUGAAGAAUGUCACAAGGUUGACGGCACAAGGUUGUUGGAACAACCUCGUAACACGCCUGAUAAUAUCAACAAAGGUUUUUACAAAUUAUUAACAGCUUCUUCCAAACUUGUUGACAACUUGUGACAAGCAGUGCGAAGAC